UACGGGGGGCGAAGCGUUGUUCGGAAUUACUGGGCGUAAAGGGCUCGUAGGCGGCCAACUAAGUCAGACGUGAAAUCCCUCGGCUUAACCGGGGAACUGCGUCUGAUACUGGAUGGCUAGAGGUUGGGAGAGGGAUGCGGAAUUCCAGGUGUAGCGGUGAAAUGCGUAGAUAUCUGGAGGAACACCGGUGGCGAAGGCGGCAUCCUGGACCAAUUCUGACGCUGAGUGAGCGAAAGCCAGGGGAGCAAACGGGG
rnacentral:rRNA from 1 species